GCCUAUAUCCGGCGUGGGCGGAGCAACAUCCGUCUUUUCGGCUUUCGGUUCGGAGGAGGCAACGGUGCAACUUUCUUCGGUCGUCCCGAAUCCGGGUUCAUCCGACACCAGCCACCUCCACCAUGCCGCCCAAGUUCGACCCCAACGAGAUCAAAGUCGGUGCGUGCCCUCGCCCCGCCCGGGCUGCCGGUGGAACCUUUUCUGCCGCGUGCUGUCCCGGGGCCUGGCGGGUCUCCCUUGGGCCUUGUCCUCCUCGUGUGUGAGCUGGGAGGGAGUCCCGACGAUCUGGCAGCCUGCGUGCCUUAGGGUAAGGCCUGGCCCUGGAGGUCUGCGGCCCGACGGCAGCGCGCAGGGCGGCCUGCGGCGCACUCCGCAGAGGUUCUGACUUUGCUUUUUCUCAGUGUACUUGAGGUGCACCGGAGGCGAGGUCGGCGCCACAUCCGCCUUGGCCCCUAAGAUCGGUCCUCUGGGUCUGUCUCCCAAAAAAGUUGGUGAUGACAUCGCCAAGGCUACCGGUGACUGGAAAGGCCUCAGGAUUACAGUGAAACUGACCAUCCAGAACAGACAGGCCCAGGUAUUUCCGUUGGCUAGUGCGUGGGAGGGCUGAGGUAGCAUCCCUCAGGAAUUGUGGACAAAAAGAUACUGCUGUUCUGAUGAAUCGAUUGUAUCUGUGGGGAGGCAUAUAAGACAAAUAUUCGUUGUACGUGAGUCUGCCAUGCACGACUCUGCUGCUCAGGCCGGACAGAAAGUACUUUAAUCAGCCGAGUAGUCCUGCUGGCUCCUUUAACAUGCCUGGUUGUAGUAUUGUUACUGGGUUUCCUGGGCUGUGUUCAUAUCAAGUCUCUUUGCAGAUUGAGGUGGUGCCCUCUGCCUCUGCCCUGAUCAUCAAAGCCCUCAAGGAGCCACCAAGAGACAGGAAGAAGCAGAAAAACAGUAAGUUGAUUCCAGUGUCUUGGUGUCCAGUGUCUGCUACUCGGCUGUGUUGAUCCAUUUCGUGGAACCUAGGGUUGGAAUGAGAUCACAUUGGGCCAUUUGCUGCAUGCCUCCAGAGAUGACUAGUGCCCCAGGGUUGGUUGACAUUCCACCCUUGGCCUCAGGGAUUUAAGCUUGUCUGUUUCUAUCCCUAGCCACCCGCCACUGCACCUGACCAGUAUUAUUGGCUGGUGCAAUCCAGUGGUGAGCUGACAGUAAGCCCCAGCUUUUAGGAAACAGGGUUGUCCUACAUGUGGGUGACUCUGUGCCGAAAGCGUGGGGACAGCCUAGACAUAAGAUGGGACCAUGAUCUUUGCUCAGAAGAUAGGCGGAAGCUUUAAAAAGCCCUUGGGUUUUCUCUCUGCAGUUAAACACAAUGGAAACAUAACUUUUGAUGAGAUUGUCAACAUUGCCCGGCAGAUGAGACACCGGUCUUUGGCCAGAGAACUUUCUGGUAAGAGCAAGUUUUGCUGUUGAAGAUCCAAGAUUUGGAUCCAGUAUCUUUUGAACUUGUGGAGCCAUGCUCUUCCCUCUGUUCAAUGGGACUCUGGGGUUCCCCCUUCCCCUGGGAUCUGAGGCCACCAUUCUCACUGUAGGAACUAUCAAGGAGAUCCUGGGUACUGCACAGUCUGUGGGCUGCAAUGUGGACGGCCGCCACCCUCAUGACAUCAUAGAUGACAUCAACAGCGGUGCGGUGGAGUGCCCAGCUGUGAGUGACUUUGCUGUUAUAUUGGAGGAAAGCUGUUAGGGUGGGGGAAAGCUGGCCUUUUGUUGCCCCUUGUGUCUUAUAGGGGCAUUGUUAAUUCUGUAUUUAUAUUCCCCAUUGUGACUGACAAUUUUUCUUCUCUUUCCCACAGAGUUAAGAAGCAACGAGAAGGGGUUGGGAAUUUAGCUCAGUGGUAGAGCGCUUGCCAAGCCCAAGGCCCUGGGUUCAGUCCCCAGCUCCGGAAAAAAAAAAGCAACAAGAAAAUAUUUAAAUAAAAGACUAUCUGAUAAACC
rnacentral:lncRNA from 1 species